rnacentral:rRNA from 1 species
UACGUAGGGGGCUAGCGUUGUCCGGAAUCAUUGGGCGUAAAGGGCGCGUAGGUGGUUCUGUAUGUCUACCGUGAAAGCGUACGGCUCAACCGUAUUUUGUCGGUAGAAACUGCAGGACUUGAGGCUGGGAGGGGCUGGUGGAAUUCCCUGUGUAGCGGUGAAAUGCGUAGAGAUGGGGGAGAACACUCGUGGCGAAGGCGGCCAGCUAGACCAGUUCUGACACUGAGGCGCGAUAGCGUGGGGAGCAAACAGG